GUAGAUGCUAGUCUCUAAGAUUAAGCCAUGCAUGUUUCCGCAAUCAGGGACGAAUAGCUCAGUAAAACUGCGAUGAUUUAGUCUGGCUGUGUAGAUAACUACGUGAAAAUGUAGCUAAGGGAAGGCAGAAUAAGACGCAGGACUAUCAGUUAGUUGGUAGUGUAAUGGACUACCAAGACAGUGACGGUUGACGGGAAAUUAGGGUUUUGUACCGGAGAGGGAGCCUGAGAGAUUGCUCCCACGUCCAAGGACGGCAGCAGGCGCGAAAAUUGCCCACUCUUUGCAGGAGGCAGUUAUGAGACGUGAAGAUGAGUAUCUUGUAAAGAGGGAUAGGAGAAUUGGAGGGCAAGUUUGGUGCCAGCAGCCGCGGUAAUACCGACUCCAAGAGUGUGUAUGAGAGAUGCUGCAGUUAAAAAGUCCGUAGUCAUAGAAGGGCAAAGAGAGAUGCGAGGUCUCACAGUGCGAUGAUGGAGGAGCCGAUGGGGAACAUAGUAUACCAGGGCGAGAGAUGAAAUGCCAAGACCCCUGGUGGACUGAGCGAGGCGAAGGCGAUGUUCUUGUAGGCAUUCGGUGAUCAAGGACGAAGGCUGGAGUAUCGAAAGUGAUUAGAUACCGCAGUAGUUCCAGCAGUAAAAGAUGCCGACAUGCUCAUUGGACACAGUGGGCAGGGAGAAAUCUUAGAGUUCGGGCUCUGGGGAUAGUAUGCUCGCAAGGGUGAAAAUUAAAGAAAUUGACGGAGCUACACCACAAGGAGUGGAUU
rnacentral:rRNA from 1 species